UUCUUGGGCAAGAGAACUGCUUGUAUGUUAGGCAGCACACCACCUUGAGCAAUGGUUACACCAGAAAGCAGCUUGUUUAACUCUUCGUCAUUACGAAUGGCUAACUGCAAAUGACGUGGAAUUAUCCUAAAAACCAAAGGAACAUAUGUAAUCUUUUAAUAUCUGAAAUCUUACGAACUAGGUAAAGGAUAGCAGAGUAACCUUGAAUCAGCAGCAGGACUUUUCUGAUCUUUAGACAAUGAUAUACAUAAACGGAUAAAAACAAUUUAUGGAAGCCUUUUAGUCUCAAUACACAAAUGUUCUUCUUUUAUCGAAACUGUGGCAACAUAAAAAAAUUGGAACCAAAUCUUCACGGACUCGAGAAAAUCGAAUAUACGCCAUUCGGUAUAAUAAAUCAUGCGUCUUUUUGAAACUUUCGCUGGAAAACGAAGCGUCAAUCGCGUCCUAUGUGUUCGACUUAUUUUUUCCGAAGAACUGCCAUCUUAUUGAUUGUAUUGUGAAUACUGAGACACCCGGUAUUUGUAUAAACGCAAAAUAACGAAAUAAUGUGCAAAUACAG